UCCUUUUCUCUCUCCCUUCCUCUCUCUUUUCUUUUUCCUCUUUUCGUUUCUAUCGUUGGUUCCGAUCUCCUCCGUGAUCGGAAUUUCGAUCUGUAUAAGGAUGGUAAACAAGCAGCGAGAAAGAGAAUAAAGAUGAUUUCGUCGAUGGUGAAUAAAGAUGAUUUCGUCGAUGGUGAUUCUACGAGCCUUAUUAUAGAUUCGGUAACAUCUUUUCUUUCGAUUUAUUUGUAAUCAACUUCUCUCCGUCUCUCAAAAAAGGUGCGUUUUAUUUUCGUGUUUUGUUGGUUUUGGUAUAUUGUUAUGGUAUCAUGUGUACAUCAUCGCAUUUUUUAUUUCUUUCUUAUUUGUUUUGUUCUUAACUUUGUAUUGGAUUUUCUCGGUGAUCGGAAUCAUUGUUUUUGUAUCUUCUUUGAAAUUUUAUUCGGAUUAGUCAGUGAUUCAUGUUGAGUUUUAAGGAUUCAUGUUGAGUUUUAAGGUCUAAAUUUUUCUAACAUGCUUUGUCUUGUCCGAAUUUGCCAGAAUAUUGUUUAAAACGUGGGUCUUUUUAAUUUUAUAUAUGUUCUUGGUGUUCUUAAUUGUUGAUUGUGUGGAUGUAUUUAGUUAGUGUUUGAUCUUUUAUAUUAUAAGUUUCAGUUUUAAAUUGUUUUUAAGUGAAUGUACGAAUAAUGAUUAUCUUGUUAUGACUUAAAUAUCAAUAAUUUUAUUAUUGUAUAGUUUUAUAUAUCAAACUUGAUUUCAUGUUAGAGCAUCUCCAACGGUGUUGGCUAUAAUCGUUGGCUAAAUUGGACCUGUAAGACAUUAUGUAAAAUUUGCUGAACCUGUAAGACAUUUUGCUUCAAUGGUAUUGGCUAUAUUGGUCGGCUAUAAUUUAAAAAUAGUAUGGUAUUAAUAUUUUAGAUUGUUAAAAUAGAAUAUAUCAGUUCAAUAUGGUAAUAAAUGAUGUGCAAUCAUCCUACAGAUUUCUUACAGACCUGUAGAGGUUCAACAAAUUUAGCCAUCCAUAGGAGGUUGGCUAAAAUUAUAGACAACAGGUUCACGUGGUUGGAGUAUGAUUUUUUCAACAGAUUAGCUAAAUUUUUUAUAUUUGGAAUGACAACUCAUUUUUUAACUAAGGGGUUUGUAUGGUUGGAGAUGCUCUUAGUGUAUAUUAUUUUUUUAAAAAAGGAUAGCAUUAAUUUCUUCAGUUAUAUUUCAUAGAUAGAAAUUAUUUGUAUAAUUGGAAUUUUAUAUUUACUUGUAUAAAUAUUUAAGGUGCUAAUUGAUAGCAUUUUGAUUUGAUUUGAUUUGUGUUUGGUAAGUAUUUUAUGUGUAUUUAUUCUGCUUAAUUGGCAUUAAAUUUGUUGAUUCAUCUUUUACUAAAUAGUAAUGAGAAUUUUUUGGUUGCCAUAUUUGAUGGCUUUUAUUUAGGUCUUGAUAUUGAUCAAGAAAUUUGUACCAUUUUGGGUGGCCAUAAUUGGUGGCAUAUAUUUUGGACCAUUAUGGGUAGUCUUGAUUAGUAUCUAACCAAAGGUGAAACCUUGGGUUAGAUAUUUUUCUUAUACUAUUUAGUAUUCAUCUUUUAUAUUUUAUAAAUUUAUGUUGAUGUUGAGUUUUUAAUAAUUACCAGGGAUUUUCAAUUAUUAAUAGAGCGUUUUGUUUUUAUAUUUCAGGGAUGAAGUGGAUUUAAAGCUUGGGAUGUUUUAUUUCAGACAUUAAGUGUUAUUGUCUAAACUUCCGGGGACAUUUUCAUGUCUUUCGGUUAGAUAAUAAGCUUUUUGAAUGAAAGAAACUUCUCGGAGUAUUGGCGUAUCUCGUUCUUUAGUAAAAAAAAAAAAAAAAACAUGCUACUAUAACUUGUGGCAACAUAAAUUACAAAAGUCUAUUGACUUCCACCUCAUAUUGUACAUCGGGAACGGUUGGUUUACUCGCUCGCUUCCGGCUUUCAUUGGGGCCUUGCUACCACUCGCUCGCUUCCGGCUUUCAUCGGGGUAUAUGUGUCAUGCUCAUUCUUAACAAGCAAUUGAUUUCUCAUUAAGAGCAUCUCCAA
rnacentral:lncRNA from 1 species